rnacentral:rRNA from 1 species
UACGGAGGGUGCAAGCGUUAUCCGGAUUCACUGGGUUUAAAGGGUGCGUAGGAGGGCAGGUAAGUCCGUGGUGAAAUCUCCGAGCUUAACUCGGAAACUGCCAUGGAUACUAUAUGUCUUGAAUGUUGUGGAGGUUAGCGGAAUAUGUCAUGUAGCGGUGAAAUGCAUAGAUAUGACAUAGAACACCAAUUGCGAAGGCAGCUGGCUACACAAAUAUUGACGCUGAGGCACGAAAGCGUGGGGAUCAAACAGG